AACGAACGCUGGCGGCAGGCCUAACACAUGCAAGUCGAGCGAUCGCAGCAAUGCGGGAGCGGCAGACGGGUGAGUAACACGUGGGAACGUACCCUUCGGUUCGGAAUAACUCAGGGAAACUUGAGCUAAUACCGGAUACGUCCGAGAGGAGAAAGAUUUAUCGCCGAAGGAUCGGCCCGCGUCUGAUUAGCUAGUUGGUGAGGUAACGGCUCACCAAGGCGACGAUCAGUAGCUGGUCUGAGAGGAUGAUCAGCCACACUGGGACUGAGACACGGCCCAGACUCCUACGGGAGGCAGCAGUGGGGAAUAUUGGACAAUGGGCGCAAGCCUGAUCCAGCCAUGCCGCGUGAGUGAUGAAGGCCUUAGGGUUGUAAAGCUCUUUUACCCGGGAAGAUAAUGACGGUACCGGGAGAAUAAGCCCCGGCUAACUUCGUGCCAGCAGCCGCCGUAACAC
rnacentral:rRNA from 1 species